rnacentral:lncRNA from 1 species
GGUGCUUUGCGAGCUGCAGGAUCCUCCAUAGAAGAGGAAGAAAUAAUUGGGUACGUCGUCGACGGACUUGAUGAUACGUACAAAAGUUUUCUCACCCACCUUCACUUCAAUCCAACGACAUCCUUUGACACACUGGUGAGCCAUCUUCUUCAAGAAGAAGAUCUACUUAAAAGAACAGAGCAACCAACAACUCCUGCAGCCUUCGCUGCUACUACUGGAACCAACAUUACAGCGCAAUAAGCAACUGGCAACCAUUCAAAUCAGUCGCAGCCACAAAACCAC